rnacentral:tRNA from 2 species
GGUGUCGUGGCCAAGAGGAAGGCGGGAGUCCCAUAAACUCUUAAUCCUGGUUCGAAUCCAGGCGGUACCG